UCUUAUCGUGUAGUUCCAGGAAGAUUUCCAGUUUGAAGGGGGCCGUUUAACUGAUGGUAAAACUUGGCAGUGACAUGAGAUGUACGGUGGAUUCGUUUAAGAGGCGGUAGUCUUGGAUAUAUCCUUAUGGUAUAGUUCCAGGAAGAUUUCCAGGUUGAAGGGGGCCGUUUAACUGAUGGUAAAACUGGGCAGUGAUAUGAGAUGUAUGGUGGAUUCGUUGAAAAAGUAUGAAACUCGGUCUGAAGCGAAUAUAUGAUCAGUCUUGGAUACAUCUUAUCGUGUAGUUCCAGGAAGAUUUCCAGGUUGAAGGGGGCCGUUUAACUGAUGGUAAAACUGGGCAGUGACAUGAGAUGUACGGUGGAUUCGUUUAAGAGGCGGUAGUCUUGGAUAUAUCCUUAUGGUAUAGUUCCAGGAAGAUUUCCAGGUUGAAGGGGGCCGUUUAACUGAUGGUAAAACUGGGCAGUGAUAUGAGAUGUAUGGUGGAUUCGUUGAAAAAGUAUGAAACUCGGUCUGAAGCGAAUAUAUGAUCAGUCUUGGAUACAUCUUAUCGUGUAGUUCCAGGAAGAUUUCCAGGUUGAAGGGGGCCGUUUAACUGAUGGUAAAACUGGGCAGUGACAUGAGAUGUACGGUGGAUUCGUUUAAGAGGCGGUAGUCUUGGAUAUAUCCUUAUGGUAUAGUUCCAGGAAGAUUUCCAGGUUGAAGGGGGCCGUUUAACUGAUGGUAAAACUGGGCAGUGAUAUGAGAUGUAUGGUGGAUUCGUUGAAAAAGUAUGAAACUCGGUCUGAAGCGAAUAUA
rnacentral:lncRNA from 1 species